rnacentral:rRNA from 1 species
UACGGAGGGUGCAAGCGUUAUCCGGAUUCACUGGGUUUAAAGGGUGCGUAGGUGGGUUGGUAAGUCAGUGGUGAAAUCUCCGAGCUUAACUUGGAAACUGCCACUGAUACUAUCAGUCUUGAAUAUUGUGGAGGUCAGCGGAAUAUGUCAUGUAGCGGUGAAAUGCUUAGAUAUGACAUAGAACACCAAUUGCGAAGGCAGCUGGCUACGCAUAUAUUGACACUGAGGCACGAAAGCGUGGGGAUCAAACAGG